rnacentral:rRNA from 1 species
CAAUAGCGUAUAUUAAAGUUGUUGCAGUUAAAAAGCUCGUAGUUGAAUUUUUGCUUGCCGCCGAUGUCGGAACUUCCGUACGUUCGGCGGCGUGCAUCCUUGGGUGGAACCUGUGUGGCAUUAGGUUGUCGUGCAGGGGAUGCUCAUCGGUUACUGUGAAAAAAUUAGAGUGUUCAAAGCAGGCUUACGCCGUUGAAUAUAUUAGCAUGGAAUAAUAAGAUAGGACCUUGGUACUAUUUUGUUGGUUUGCGCACCGAGGUAAUGAUUAACAGGGACAGUUGGGGGUAUUCGUAUUCCAUUGUCAGAGGUGAAAUUCUUGGAUUUCUGGAAGACGAACUACUGCGAAAGCAUUUACCAAGGAUGUUUUCAUUAA